GGUCUGUGCAGGGCGGCGCUCACCGUCCUUCUCCUCGAUGUCCACGAGCUUGGUGAUGAAGUCCUUCAGCUGCGCCACGCCCUGGCGCACGGUGGGCUGCAGCGGCUCCAUCCAAGCCUCCUUGGCCCUGGAAGCCGGCGUGUCCAUGUUGCCCACGUUCUGGACUGCCUGGAGGUGACAGCAGGAAGGACCAGGUUCUGCUAGGUUUAACUGACGCUGCUGCACUGGAUACCCCACCCCGGUGCCGGGCACAUAGGUGCAGCCUGAGAGUAAGCAGACCCGGGUUGGAAGGUCCCGCGAUUCACCACCGACAGGAUGGGCGGCCUUGGCAACCCCCGACCCCUCGCAGGCCUGUUCCCUUAUCCAUGAGAUGGAGCUCGGACAAGGUGGCCACAGGAAGGCUUUGCAAACUGUGAAGUGCAGUGCCUACGUGGGCGUGCCAGUGGCCUCGCCGGAGCCGGUAGGGAACACUCUGCAGUCCAGGCCAGGGCCCCGGUAGGACACCCAGCUGUGCAUCCCGCCCGUGGCCGCAAGGCCCGCACCUUAGCCAAC
rnacentral:lncRNA from 1 species